CACGGAUGGCUCCUCCCGCUGCCGCUGCUGCUCCAGGAGACAGCUAAGGGGACCUACUUCUCUCGGGAAUCUCAAUACUUGGAAAAAGAACCUCGUGGAUGGACCCUUUGGCAAAAUGAAUUGGACCAACCAUAGGUUCCAGGACUGGAGAGCCAGCAAUGCCUCCCUGGACAAUCCCACUCAAUUACUCUGCUCAGAGAACAUCACCACCCUGAAGCUAGAGACUAACCCUGAAGGACUCAGCAGUCUAAGCACAGCAGCCACAGCCCUUUCUGGCUCCAUUGCUGUGGUGGCCCUCAUCUUGCUCCUGGUGGGUCUCUUGUCCAUGACCCUGAAGAAAUGGAGGCAUGAGAGACUAUUUAAGAAACAACUGAGGCAUCAGGCCAACUUUCCCCACAAGUCCUCGGAUCUUUCCCGCCAUGCUGAUGCCAUAUAUUCCAACAUGAUCAACCUGGCCCCCCAGAAGGAGGACGACUUUGCUGUCUAUGCCAACAUGCCCCCUUUUCAUCACCCCAGGAGGACAUCGCCAGACCAAGUGGAAUAUGCCUCCAUUGAAUUCCACUGAUGGGAAGCCAACGAGAUGCUCAGAGUGGGGGUCAGACCUGGCCCAGCUGGAUCGUGGCAUACCCUUUGCUUUAGAUUUAUGUAUGUGUUAAAAAAAAUACAUAGGCCGGGAGUGGUGGCUCACACUUGUAUCCCUGGAGGCUAAGGCAGGCAGAUCAUGAGGUCAGGAUAUCGAGACCAUCCUGGCCAACAUGGUGAAACCCCAUCUCUACUAAAGAUACAAAAAUUAGCCAGGCGUGGUGGCACAUGCCUGUAAUCCCAGCUACUUGGGAGGCUGAGGCAGGAGAAUCACUUGAACCCAGGGGGCGGAAGUUGCAGUGAGCCAAGAUCACACCACUGCACUCCAGCCUGGCAACAGAGUAAGACUCCAUCUCUAAAAAAAAUAAAUAAAUAAAAUAAAACAAAAAACAAAAAAAACAUAAAAACAUAUUCUGAUGGAGGUGGAUGGCUGGACAUUUCUUCUAAUUUAUUAGACUCAAAGUACAGUUCUAAUAGGAAGGAGUGACAUACAAGAGACACAGGACAUGCUCAUCCAGACCACCCCCAGCCCCAGAGGCACGGGGUGAGACAGACUGGCCAAUAAGGAAACCCUCUGAGCUCCUGCCCCUCCUGGGGCAAAAGGGCUGAGGAGGGGGAUUCAGACCAUUUCAGGCCCAGCUGCUUUUGUCUCUCCAGUCUCGCCCUAUCAGGAGUUAACACCCCGUGGGAGUCAACUUAGGAGUCAUGCUCAUGUCUGUGAUCAAGUGCGUGGCUGACUGCCUGCUGUGUCUGCACAGUACAAUUGGUGGACAAUAUGCCAGGUGUAGGGGAGGAGGCACAGCGGGGCUGCAGGUGCCUGGGAAGUGCUUCUUACUGAGGAAUUGGUGAGCUCCCAGGAAGCAUGGGGGCCGCCUGAGAAAGAGGGCAGGGAAGGAGUGCCAAGCGGGAAGUGGGCUGUGUGUCAUCGCUGGCCAGAGACAGCUCCCGUGGGAACUGUGGUAGACGACUGGAACUUUACAAUUGAUUCACUCCUUCUUUUCAUCAUUCACAAAUACUCAUUAAGCCCUUCCAUGAUCUAGGUCCUGGGAAUAUAGCAGUGAACCCAACAGACAAAGCCUUGUCCUCACAGAGCUUACCUUCUAGAAUGAAAAAAGAAACACACAAACACACAAAAUGUCAGAUGGUGGGAUGUGCUAUGGGGAAAUAAAGCAAGCAUUCUCUACCCUACACUUCCUUGUAAGAGGUGAGAGUGGGUUGCUAGUUUGUAUCAGGUGUUCAGGGAAGGUCUCACUGACAUCUGACCUAAAAAAAAGGUAAGAAUGUGACACCUGAUGAUAAAUAG
rnacentral:lncRNA from 10 species